AUCUGGUUGAUCCUGCCAGUAGUCAUAUGCUUGUCUCAAAGUAUAAGCCAUGCAUGUCUAAGUAAUACUUUUACAUAGUGAAACCGCGAAUGGCUCAUUAAAUCAGUUAUUGUUCCUUAGAUAGUAAAAUCCUACUUGGAUAACUGUGGUAAUUCUAGAGCUAAAACAUGAAGCACGGAUCUGACCUCGCGGAAUGAGCGCGUUUAUUAGAUCAAAACAAGUCGGGUUCGCAAGGGCCCCUCGGAUUGGUUAGACUGGAUAACUUUGUGCUGAUCGCACGGUCUCGCGCCGGCGACGUAUCUUUCAAAUGUCUGUCCCAUCAACUUUCGAUGGUAUGUGAUAUGCCUACCAUGGUUGGUACGGGUAACGGGGAAUCAUGGUUUCUAUUCCGAAGAGGGAGCAUAAGAAACGGCUACCACAUCCAAGGAAGGCAGCAGGCGCGCAAAUUACCCACUCCUGGCACGGGGAGGUAGUGAUGAAAAAUAGCAAUACGGGACUCUUUCGAGGCCCCGUAAUUGGAAUGAGUACACUAAAAACCCUUUAACGAGGAUCUAUUGGACGGCAAGUCUGGUGCCAGCAGCCGCGGUAAUCCAGCUUCAAAAGCAUAUCUUAAAAUUCUUGUAGUUAAAAAGCUCGUAGUUAGAUCUCGGGUCCCAGGCUUGCGGUCCGAUGCCUGUCGGUUACUGCUCGUCUUGACCUACCUCCCGAUUUUCGCUCUUGGUGCUCUUGACUGAGUGUCUCGGGUGGCCGGAACAUUUACUUUGGAAAAAAAUGAAGGUUCAAAGCAGGCAAUAUCGCCUGAAUAAUGGUGCAUGGAAUAAUGGAAUAUGACCUCGGUUCUAUUUUGCUGGUCUUCGGAGCUCGAGGUAAUGAUUAAGAGGGACUGACGGGGGCAUUCGUAUUACGGUGUUAGAGGUAAAAUUCGUGGAUCGUCGUAAGAACUACUGCGAAAGCAUUCGCCAAGCAUGUUUUCAUUAGUCAAGAACGAAAGUCUCGAAGAGGUUCGAAGACGAUCAGAUUCCGUCGUAGUAAUGACAAUAAACGAUGCCAACUAGCGAUCCGCCGGAGUUGCUUCAAUGACUCGGCAGGCAGCCUCCAUGAAACCAAAGAUUUUGCGUUCCGGGGGAACAUGGUAUGGUUGCAAAACUAAAUUUAAAGGAAUUGACCGGAAGUGGACCCUGCGGCAUAAUUUGACUCAACACGGGAAAACUCAUCCGGCCCGUACACUUCUGACAGA
rnacentral:rRNA from 1 species